rnacentral:rRNA from 1 species
AUGGACGACGAGGCCAUGGCGGUGUGGCGCCAACACUUUCCAGAGGACGUCGUCAACGAGGGCGAAUUCUACGCGCAAAGAAGGGCGAAGCGAGCCGCCUAUUACGAGGACAGGCGUACGCGGAAGGCGGCCGCACUCUUCAACAUCGAGCUGAAAGAAGCGUCGACCUGGGACUCCAACGAUGAACGGUGGAUUGACGCAUUCAUUACGACGUCGAAGGAGGAGGAGGACAUCACCGAGUCGGAGUCAGAGUCAGAGGACGACAUCACCGAGCCGGAGUCGGAGGAGGAGGAAGACGAUGAGUAG